UGCCUACCGUAAAGGACUGAAAGAUUACUGGUGGCCCGGAGACCUUUCUAGUUUCACCAGGACAGGUGGGCGAGCAGAGGCUCUACCAAAAGGGGUGGGAUUUGAUGACAGCUGCUCGAGCGCCUCCGAAGGAGACCUGACAACUCAAGAGCAAUUGCUUCGCCAAUGAAUCUACUACCGGAUCGGAAUCGCGACCCGCUGAGAAGAUCCGGCGAGAAACUGAGCGGGCUGAUGCAUGGGUUAGGUUACACGUCACACUAUGUAUGUUGGCUUUUUAAAAUCCGUUCACAGAAGUUAUAAAGCUUUCCGAUGUGGUUAGUAGUGGGGGGUGGUAUUGAAUAAUAAAAAUGGAUACACAGUGCAGUUUAUGACAUCAUCGCCUUUAAAGCGCAUGCGCAUUCGUUUUACGAGUUCGACGAGAACGGUGACCGGUGCCUGAAGAGCCAAGCUUGAUAGCAAUACGUAGUUUGAGUAUUGAGUAAUUGAGUAUUCUUAUAAAGCCUCCUGUGAAUUAAACUAUUGUGUGUCACGGAGUAUCUUAUCUUAUACCUUUAAACGAGCAAUUUUUGUAUAUUAAUAUAUAUAAAUAUAAUCUGAAUCUCGGAAACGGCUCCAACGAUUUUCAUAAAAUUGAGUAUACGUAUAUAAAAUACGAGUAUAAAAUGUUGUUUUAUUCGUGUGUGUUUUCAAUAAUCAACUCUUCCCGACAUCUAUUGGCGAAUAAUAAUACUAUUUUUCUUAAUUGAGGGCAACUAACCGCUUUAAAGACACAACAAGAUGGCGUUAUCCAAAAAAAAAACCGAGCAAAGCUCGGUCAUCGUCUAGUUUACUUUAUACAUCCAAGGGAACAAAAAUUCUUACAAGAUAAGUCGAGAGAAAGACGAAAAAAUCUCACGAAAUUGAUGGUACAUACCAUUGUUGGUUGUAGUCGUCUGAAUAAAUUGUUAUUGAUAGUUAACAUUCCGGCGUUCCGCUACUUAUGCUUUUAUUGGAAGUUGGGAAGCUGACGGGUGUUUCGAUUGAGUGACAUAAUAUUGUUCUGAGAACGCCAAGACGUUCUUUAACUAAAAAAUAUUAAUAAUAAUCCAUACUUAAUGGUUUAAGGUUUUUUUUAUUGCUUAGAUGGAUGGAUGAGCUCAUAGCCCACCGGGUAUUAAGUGGCUACUGGAGCCCAUAGACAUCUACAACGUAAAUGCGCCACCCACCUUGAGAUAUAAGUUCUAAGAUCUCAGUAUAGUUAUAACGGCUGCCCUACCCUUCAGACCGAAACGCAUUACUGCUUCACGGCAGAAAUAGACAGGGCGGUGGUACCUACCCGCGCGGACUCACAAGAGGUCCUACCAAUAAGUCUGCUUAUCUGUUCUUCUGUAGCGAAGUAAAGAAGCAAUAUACUGACAUGAUUUUUUACAAUGAUAGUAUUAGGUUGGAAGAGUACUUGGUUACCUUUUAUCCCAAACUGUCAGUCCCACGGGAAACUUCACUGACAAUUUUCCUUGAUCACGUGGGAGAAGCUGCGUGUAAAAGCUAGUAAAAAAUAAAAACAACUCGGUCCGCCGUCCCCAAAGAAGAACAAGCCAAUAUGGCGUUUAUCUUAAAUUUUUGCGACAUUAUAUGAUUAUUUGAUGAGAUAACAUUAGUAUUUCGCAAACAUAUAAUUUUUUUUUAUUUAACACAAACCCGGAAACUGAAGUUCAAAGCCAAAACAAAUAAGGGCACGUAAUGACUCAACGUUAGAACUUAUAGGUUGAUACCGUUGCCAUGCGAUAACCGGUUUCAUUAAAAAAAAUAUGUUAUUGCCAGUAUAAUACAUUAGAUAUUAGCGAUAUUGCUGUUAGAAUUGUUGUUUACAUAUAUAUAUUUUUUUGCAAUUUACAAAGUGUAAUUGUUUUGACGCCUUUUUCCUCCAACUGUUCUUGUAUUAUUUAGUACUGGACAUGAAAAAAUUUAAAUUAAACACGUUGCAUUUUCGCGCGAAAAAGACGCUUGUCUCAUUUUCUGGUUCAUAAACUACGAUACGAUUUGAUACGUCAGAUCACAAACCAGAGAACCAAAUGUUGUGUCUAUUGUAACAGGUAUAAAUAACCCUUUAUGUUUAACAUUCCACUUAUCAAACAUUGAUUGUGUAGAAAUAAAUAGCUUUGCAUAUUUAAAUAGGCACAGAUAAAACAAUUGCGACGAUUUUCUCUUCUAUCUGUCAUCCGAGCUGAGUAUUAUUUAUUAACUAGUGGUCGCGCAGCAGUCGAAAUUCAACUAUAAUUAAUUGAAAUUAAAAGUUUAAACAUUAUUAUGGUUCUAUUAUCAAGCACUAUUAUACUUCUAUAAUAAUAUAGAUUUCGCCAAAAUUUCACUAUAAAUAAAUAAUAUUAAAGAAAAACAAUAUUAAUCUAUUCUCAAUUUGACCACAGACUUUAAAGAAUAACAAAAGUUUCACAAUUGACAAUAUACAAAGAGUAGGUAUAUUUAUACGUAUGUGUUGUGUCAAAUACAUGGUAGUGUGUGUAAUGUUUUCUCUAUCGAUUUAAUGUAUUUUUAAUGCACAAUUUAAAAAAAAUAUUAGAGUUCUGCACUUCUUCUCUACGUUCUCUAUAAGUGUGGGAAAUUUCAUUCUCCUCCGUCCGCGCAAUUGUCGUAAAAAGGGGUACAAAGUUUUUGCUUCACGUAUUAAUAUAUAGAUUAGCUGAAUGUUUUAUUUUUCGAAAUGCCAAAAACGAAGGGAAAAAGUAACAGUAAUAUUAAUGUACAGGGGGGUGCAACUCCCAUACAAAGGAAAAUAACAUACAACUAGCGUCAUCUUACUCCUGUGGCGACGUCAUUUUUGUAACUUUUAGGCAUUAAUGAUCUAAUAAACUCACUAGAUGGCAGAUAUGAGUUCUGACUCAAUAAAAAAUGUAGCGUACUUUGAAGCAGUGCUUCCACUUUUAGGGAAUUCUCCCUUUUUUAGGGAAAAAUAGCUGAUAUUUUGGAUGAUAAAGACAAUUUAAAAAAUACCAGGAUUUAGGAUAUUUCGGGGUAAAAAGCAAAGCCUAUACUAGUAACUGUUGUGAAUUUUAAAAUAAACGAUAAUUAAAGUAAAACAAUGAACAUUUUAUUUUAUGGAGAGAGAAUGACAUUAAGUCGAGUUGACAAGUAAAAGAAUAAAACAGAGUUGUGUAUAAAAACUAUAAAGGUUUGAUUCAACAGUAACCCUCUAGUAAAGUAAAUCAUAGAUUAAGCCACUGCUUUUUCUUAGGGAUUCCCCAGAAUCCCAAUAAGUAUAAUCCGCCAAAUUUUUAUUUACCUAUUUUCGUUGAUGUCACCAGAACUUACUUGUAUUGUAAUAUACAGGUACUUCAUGUACCAUGAAAGAUUAUCAUGGUAAUUUCAUUUACGAAAACCUUGUAAUUGUCAUUUCACUUUUGCUAGCAGUUCCUUCUUCAAAGACUGAGGUGGAAAGAUUAUUCAGUGUUCUCAAAUUUAAAAACUGACAAAAGAAACAGGCUUUCUAAUGAAACCCUGAACGGCUUGCUUCAUAGAAAGUUCCCAACUUUGCCAGCAAACAAUUGCUCAAUUUUAGAACCGAACAGUGUUAGGUUGUGCAGCAAAAGAAUAUAAAAGCAAUGCGUCGACUUCCUUGAAAAUUCUAAUCCUAUAGAUCUAUGAUCUUCUGGGGGCGUUUAUAUUAUAUAUACCUACAUUAAAUAAUAUGCUGUGGUUUAUUUUCUGUAUUUUAUUUACGCUUUCUAUAUAAAGGAUUUAUGAAAGUUGUCUAGGAAAUUUUAGGGUAAAUUCAAAAGAAACUAGGGUAAAAUGUGUUAAAAAAAACGUAAGUGGAAACACUGCUUUGAAGUUUUCAAAAUUCCAGGGCCGUAAAACAAUCUCAAAAAAAAAAAAAAGUUUUCAAAAUGUCGUAACGAUUUAAUUUUUUAAAUCGUUUUUUUUUUGGUCUUGGUAAUGUUUAUUAUUAAAAAUCAGCAUGCCUCGAAGAUCGAAAAUGAAAUGCUAUUUCGGAUGCCUUGAUAACGACAAAGGUUUGAUAAUGACAAAAUUUUAUGGAAAAAUUAUAAGGAGCACUAAAAUGUCUGAAACAUGAAAAGAUUGAUGCACUAUAUUUGAACCAGAACGUGUUAUGUAAUAUAUUAAUUUAAGAGAAACUGAUUCAGCAAGGAACGUGAACUCUCAAGGGAUCUUAAUUUUUUUAAAUAUGUUUAUAAUUGAUAAAUUAAUAAUUGAAAUAGUUCAUAAGAACUAAAUUGAUGCCAAUUUUGUUUUAAAAUAGGUUGUUUAGUUCUUAUAGUUAUAGUAUUACGUUUGAAUAGUUGUAAUUAGUAAGUUAGUAAUAUAUGAAAAUACUGAUAUAAAUUUUUGUAAAUAACCUUUUGUAAAUUCUACGAGAAGAUGAUUUUAAUUAAUGAUCAAAAGUCAACGGUCUUUAAAAGCAUUAUUUGCAAUUAUUUAGAUUAACUGUGGAAUAUAUUUGCUAAGUUGUGUUUUCUGUAUGAGUAGAUAUAAAUGAAAAUGCCCAAACAUGAUUAUGUUUCUUACAUUUUCAUUAUGUGAAAUCAAUAUGCUUGUGACUGAGUAUAUUAAUAAUUUAUUAAAACUUAAGUGAUAGACAGCAACCCCUAUGGCACUGCUGAAGUUUAUAAGCACUGGUGACCACUUAUCAUGGGCCGGGUUGCGUGCUCGUCUGCUGUUGAGUGCAAUAAAAAUUUUCGAAACCCUUUCUAUUAUUUCGAUGUAAUAUUAGUGUACAUUUAAUUUGGAUUAAAAGAUAAAUUUACAUUUUAUGUUUGCAUGUGUAUGUUUACAAUUCAUUUGCAUGUAACGAACACCAGUUUCUUUUGUAACAAAAUGUAAACUAAUGGUUUGUAAUGAAUGUAAAUAACUUUAAGAUGAUUUUCUUUCAAUCUGCUGUUUGUUUCAUCUAGUAUUACCAAAGCUAAAGCAUCAGAAACGUCAGAAUAGAAAUAAUUUAGAUAGGGAAUAAAAGUAUAACUAAUGUAAUCAUGUCUAAGAUUACUAUAAGCGUCAUUAAGUACAAACUAUCAAUAUUUAAGAGUACUUUAAAUCAUCAUUACAUUUUUUAAACAUUUUUUGUUUUUCAAAUCAUGUAAUAAAACGUUUGUGCAGAACAAAAUGUCACAUGUUAUGAAUAUGAUUGUGGGUUAAUCGUUUCUUAAAUUUCUAAAUGUUUAUAAGAAUGCUAAGAAUAAUUUAGUAUUCACUUUAGUGUGUGUAUUAUCUCUACAAUGCUAGUAUAAAUGACAAUUAUUGUAUGACGAAGCAUAGGUAGUGUUUAUAGAUGUAAUAUUUUCAUACAAGGUCAUGAUCUGUCACGAUCAACUUUAAGCAAGAACUGCUAUAGUUAAGAAACAAAUUUAUUAAAUUUAAUUCAAAUUGUCUACUAUGUUUGUAAUGGAAAGCUGACAUGUUUAUAUUUCGCACAAAUGACUUAAGUGACAUUGAAUGAUUUGAUUAUCUAGACUUAAUUAACUUUUAGAUAACUUUCGAUUUAAUGUUAUUAAGUACUCUAGUAGGAUUAAUCUAGAGGAGUUAUUGUUAUUCGAAAUUUUAUACAAUUGUACGUUCAUACUAUCUUUUAACAGUAAAUGGUUUGUAAUAUAGGGAAAUUAAAUAGCUUACAGAGAA